rnacentral:rRNA from 1 species
UACGUAGGGGGCAAGCGUUGUCCGGAUUUAUUGGGCGUAAAGAGCGUGUAGGCGGCCAUACAGGUCCGUUGUGAAAACUGGACGCUUAACCUCCAGACGUCGAUGGAAACCGUAUGGCUAGAGUCCGGAAGAGGAGAGUGGAAUUCCUGGUGUAGCGGUGAAAUGCGCAGAUAUCAGGAAGAACACCCGUGGCGAAGGCGGCUCUCUGGGACGGUACUGACGCUGAGGAGCGAAAGCCAGGGGAGCAAACGGG